AGAGUUUGCUUCUGGCUCAGGAUGAACGCCGGCGGUGUGCCUAAUACAUGCAAGUCGUACGCACUGGCCCAACUGAUUGAUGGUGCUUGCACCUGAUUGACGAUGGAUCACCAGUGAGUGGCGGACGGGUGAGUAACACGUAGGUAACCUGCCUCGGAGCGGGGGAUAACAUUUGGAAACAGAUGCUAAUACCGCAUAACAACAAAAGCCACAUGGCUUUUGUUUGAAAGAUGGCUUUGGCUAUCACUCUGGGAUGGACCUGCGGUGCAUUAGCUAGUUGGUAAGGUAACGGCUUACCAAGGCAAUGAUGCAUAGCCGAGUUGAGAGACUGAUCGGCCACAAUGGAACUGAGACACGGUCCAUACUCCUACGGGAGGCAGCAGUAGGGAAUCUUCCACAAUGGGCGCAAGCCUGAUGGAGCAACACCGCGUGAGUGAAGAAGGGUUUCGGCUCGUAAAGCUCUGUUGUUGGAGAAGAACGUGCGUGAGAGUAACUGUUCACGCAGUGACGGUAUCCAACCAGAAAGUCACGGCUAACUACGUGCCAGCAGCCGCGGUAAUACGUAGGUGGCAAGCGUUAUCCGGAUUUAUUGGGCGUAAAGCGAGCGCAGGCGGUUGCUUAGGUCUGAUGUGAAAGCCUUCGGCUUAACCGAAGAAGUGCAUCGGAAACCGGGCGACUUGAGUGCAGAAGAGGACAGUGGAACUCCAUGUGUAGCGGUGGAAUGCGUAGAUAUAUGGAAGAACACCAGUGGCGAAGGCGGCUGUCUGGUCUGCAACUGACGCUGAGGCUCGAAAGCAUGGGUAGCGAACAGGAUUAGAUACCCUGGUAGUCCAUGCCGUAAACGAUGAGUGCUAGGUGUUGGAGGGUUUCCGCCCUUCAGUGCCGGAGCUAACGCAUUAAGCACUCCGCCUGGGGAGUACGACCGCAAGGUUGAAACUCAAAGGAAUUGACGGGGGCCCGCACAAGCGGUGGAGCAUGUGGUUUAAUUCGAAGCUACGCGAAGAACCUUACCAGGUCUUGACAUCUUGCGCUAACCUUAGAGAUAAGGCGUUCCCUUCGGGGACGCAAUGACAGGUGGUGCAUGGUCGUCGUCAGCUCGUGUCGUGAGAUGUUGGGUUAAGUCCCGCAACGAGCGCAACCCUUGUUACUAGUUGCCAGCAUUAAGUUGGGCACUCUAGCGAGACUGCCGGUGACAAACCGGAGGAAGGUGGGGACGACGUCAGAUCAUCAUGCCCCUUAUGACCUGGGCUACACACGUGCUACAAUGGACGGUACAACGAGUCGCAAGCUCGCGAGAGUAAGCUAAUCUCUUAAAGCCGUUCUCAGUUCGGACUGUAGGCUGCAACUCGCCUACACGAAGUCGGAAUCGCUAGUAAUCGCGGAUCAGCAUGCCGCGGUGAAUACGUUCCCGGGCCUUGCACUCACCGCCCGUCA
rnacentral:rRNA from 1 species